GAUGAACGCUAGCGGCAGGCUUAAUACAUGCAAGUCGAGGGGCAGCAGGGGUAGCAAUACCCGCUGGCGACCGGCAAACGGGUGCGGAACACGUACACAACCUUCCUUAAGUGGGGGAUAGCCCAGAGAAAUUUGGAUUAAUACCCCGUAAUAUUAUUUAGUGGCAUCAUUAAGUAAUUAAAGCUCCGGCGCUUAGAGAUGGGUGUGCGGCUGAUUAGGUAGUUGGUGAGGUAACGGCCACCAAGCCUUCGAUCAGUAACUGGUGUGAGAGCACGACCAGUCACACGGGCACUGAGACACGGGCCGACUCCUACGGGAGGCAGCAAGGUAAGAAUAUUGGUCAAUGGACGCAAGUCUAGAACCAGCCAUGCCGCGUGGA
rnacentral:rRNA from 1 species